rnacentral:rRNA from 1 species
AUUGAACGCUGGCGGCAGGCCUAACACAUGCAAGUCGAGCGGAUGAAGGGAGCUUGCUCCUGGAUUCAGCGGCGGACGGGUGAGUAAUGCCUAGGAAUCUGCCUGGUAGUGGGGGAUAACGUCCGGAAACGGGCGCUAAUACCGCAUACGUCCUGAGGGAGAAAGUGGGGGAUCUUCGGACCUCACGCUAUCAGAUGAGCCUAGGUCGGAUUAGCUAGUUGGUGGGGUAAAGGCCUACCAAGGCGACGAUCCGUAACUGGUCUGAGAGGAUGAUCAGUCACACUGGAACUGAGACACGGUCCAGACUCCUACGGGAAGCAGCAGUGGGGAAUAUUGUACAAUGGGGGAAAGCCUGAUCCAGCCAAGCCGCGUGUGUGAAGAAGGUCUUCGGAUUGUAAAGCACUUUAAGUUGGGAGGAAGGGCAGUAAGUUAAUACCUUGCUGUUUUGACGUUACCAACAGAAUAAGCACCGGCUAACUUCGUG